rnacentral:lncRNA from 1 species
GUUGGGAAGAAUUCUGCUGCAAAGCCAUCUGGGCUGAUAUAUGUUUUAUUUUUUAAAUUUUAUUUUUGCAGGGAAGCUCUUUAAGUCUUUAAAUCUCUAUUUCUCCCAUGGAAUCUAGUCUUUCAAAACCUGUCUCUUGAGAUCAGUUUCGAAGGGAAAAUGAAGGCUCCCAGAGGCCUGGCAAAAGAGCACCAACAGUAAUACUGCAAUAUAGUCAUGGAACACAUUGAGGUGGUGUAUGAUGACAGGGCCAAUGUUACGCACCCCCCACCUUCCAUGGAUUCGGAGAACUGGGAUCCUAGUAGCCUCUGAGGGCGGGGCCGCCUGUUUCGGGGACGCUGCG